rnacentral:lncRNA from 1 species
GAUCCCCACUGUUCUCCAACCAAAUAAUCUUUCAAUAACAUAUUUUCUUACAAUAGAUCGUUAUAUAUGUCAUCACCUCACUUGUGAUUGCUGCAUUAAUUAGGGCAAAAACCCUACAGAAGCAAAUGUCUCCACAUCUAUCCUUGAUAAGGUGAUAUUUAAUAAAUAUCCACCUGACAAAGAGGAACUUUUGGAGCCAUUUGAAGCUCUUAGGGACUUAAGCAUUUAUAACAUGUAGUACACUUGGAUGAAUCAUUGUCAGUUAUGAAACAUACGGAUUUGGUUAUGCAUGGCUACGUUUGAGUAGAUUUGGUCCAUACCAGCUAUUUUCCAUUCAUUCUAACCUAUGAAAUGGGAACCAAGUCACAAGAGUGAGUUCAGGCUUUUUAACAAUAAACUUUCUGGCAUUUCCACCACUUCUGAAAGUGUCUGCAUGUGUUCCUUGUAAGAAGUUUGAAAAGUUAUAAAUNUGAAUCGGAGCUGUAGCCACCGGCCCACGCCAGAUCCUUAACCCACUGAGCAAGGCCAGGGAUCGAACCCGCAACCUCAUGGUUCCUAGUCGCAUUUGUUAACCACUGAGCCACGAUGGGAACUCCGCCAAGUGCGUCUUGAUCCAUUCUUCUGAGCAUGCCUCUUAUGAUGCUAGGAAGGUCUAACUCUGAAUUAUGUUUGAUAUUCAGGGGAGAACAAUCUGGCAGUGAGCUGACUUCUACCAAAGCAACCUGGAUCAGGAAGCUGGUGGAGGAGAGCCUGGAACCCCUUUGUGGUUAAAUGAGGUGCUUUUCCUGAUGGGCAAAAUACACAGCAGGGGCCGAGGGUGCUGCAAGCUUAAGGAUGUAAGAUGAUGACAACCAUAAGCAAAAGAACACAAUUUGAAGAUCUGGUAAGUACAAGAGAGAUAUUUAUAGAUAUUAAUCAAUUAUCUUGACAUUAUUUUUCUGUUUUAAGUAUUUGUCUUUUUCUUGAGUCCCUAUGAAUAAUGGUACUGCUCGUGAGCCUGACCUUUUCAAGAAAAAUGCUAUACUUCUAUAAUUAUAUUUGAGAGACAUAACAUUAUUUGAAUAGGCAUCUCAGUAUUAUUCAGACAUAUUGUAAUAUUACCAGGACUUAAAGUCUUUGAAUAAUGCAAACUUUCCUAACAUUACUCAUCACAUUUAGUGUAGGC